rnacentral:ribozyme from 13 species
AUAUAUAUUGUUUCGAGAUGGAUCGGUAGCUGCGUGCGGUCUUAAUGCAUUUGGGCAGUUAGGCAUUGGUGAGUUCGAUGAUCCAGGGCCGGCAACAGUCACAAUACCUGGAAAUAAUUUUAUCAAAA